CCAAAGGCCCUCUUUAGGGCCACUAAAUUACAUGUUUACAUUCAUU
rfam:Strongyloides venezuelensis genome assembly, scaffold: SVE_scaffold0000009